AUUGAACGCUGGCGGCAGGCCUAACACAUGCAAGUCGAACGAGUGGCGGACGGGUGAGUAAUGUCUGUGAAACUGCCUGAUGGAGGGGGAUAACUACUGGAAACGGUAGCUAAUACCGCAUACCAUCGGAUGUGCCCAGAUGGGAUUAGCUAUUAGUUGGGGUAACGGCUCACCUAGGCGACGAUCCCUAGCUGGUCUGAGAGGAGGACCAGCCACACUGGAACUGAGACACGGUCAAGACUCCUACGGGAGACAGCAGUGGGGAAUAUUGCAAAAUGGGCGAAAGCCGGAUGAAGCAAUGCCGCGUGUAUGAAGAAGGCCUUCGGGUUGUAAAGUACUUUCAGCGGGGAGGCGUUACCCGCAGAAGAAGCACCGGCUAACUCCGUGCCAGCCGCCGCGGUAAUAC
rnacentral:rRNA from 1 species